AUUGAACGCUGGCGGCAUGCUUUACACAUGCAAGUCGAACGGUAACAGGUUAAGCUGACGAGUGGCGAACGGGUGAGUAAUGCAUCGGAACGUGCCCGAUCGUGGGGGAUAACGCAGCGAAAGCUGCGCUAAUACCGCAUACGAUCUGAGGAUGAAAGCGGGGGACCGUAAGGCCUCGCGCGAUCGGAGCGGCCGAUGUCAGAUUAGGUAGUUGGUGGGGUAAAGGCUCACCAAGCCAACGAUCUGUAGCUGGUCUGAGAGGACGACCAGCCACACUGGGACUGAGACACGGCCCAGACUCCUACGGGAGGCAGCAGUGGGGAAUUUUGGACGAUGGGCGAAAGCCUGAUCCAGCAAUGCCGCGUGCGGGAAGAAGGCCUUCGGGUUGUAAACUGCUUUUGUACGGAGCGAAAAGGCACUCUCUAAUACAGGGGGCUCAUGACGGUACCGUAAGAAUAAGCACCGGCUAACUACGUGCCAGCAGCCGCCGUAACAC
rnacentral:rRNA from 1 species